rnacentral:lncRNA from 1 species
ACCAAACCAAUGCAGACCAAACCAAUGCAGAACUCCUAUGUGCUGAUGGUGGUCUUACGUUUCCCUAAGUUUCUGCCGACUAAACUGUGCACACGUUCUCAGGACCUCCUGAAGCUGCGUCACAGGCACUAAUCAAAGAACACAACCAAGAGUUUGGCCUUUUCUUCAGCACUGGGAAUUGUGAUCCAAAGCUUUCCCGGAUGAAGCACAAAGUUGGAGAAACAAAACGCAAACUAAACAACAACAAUGAAACAGAACAGAGUUAAUCUGCUGUAGCUCAAGAGAGGACGUACCUGCCCCCACCCCGCAUCCCUGGGCUCGGGUUUGCCUUGCUGACCUCUGCUGCCACCU